UAGUUUAGUGGCGGACGGGUGAGUAACACGUGAGCAACCUGCCUUCGAGAGGGGAAUAACGGCUGGAAACGGUCGCUAAUACCGCAUAACAUACAGGAGGGACAUCCCUUUUGUAUCAAAGAUUUAUCGCUCGAAGAUGGGCUCGCGUCCGAUUAGGUAGUUGGUGAGGUAACGGCCCACCAAGCCGACGAUCGGUAGCCGGACUGAGAGGUUGAACGGCCACAUUGGGACUGAGAUACGGCCCAGACUCCUACGGAAGGCAGCAG
rnacentral:rRNA from 1 species